CCCCCCCCAACCACUCAAGCCUGGAAGCAGCAAAUCCCUAUCCUAGGCCAGAUUUUCUCCCAUUUCCCCUGACUAUCCUCCCUUCCACCCCUGCCUGGAACACCACACGCCCCUGUGGACAGACAGCGAUUUAAAGUGUAUAUUAAUUUAUUUUAACAUAACCAAGAAAAAGAAUAAAGCACUCCUAGGUGGUGUUGUUAGCAAUAUAUCCUGCACAAGGGCCGCCCAACCAACCUCUCGUUCAGGAUAGAUCCUCAGUCCCUGUGCUGCUUCUGCUAUAGGGGGUAGGCAGUAUCCACUAAUAUAACCAGGGGAAUGGCAACACUGGAUCACUGUCUCCUCUGCACUGGGUACAUAAUGUCCUUUCUCCAUGAGGCCAGGCAGAGGGGACUUUCUGAACAAAGCCCAGUCAAAUUCCAUUUCUUCACUUUCCUCUGUGCAUUACAAGUCCGCUGUGUACCUGUAACUUCUCCUUCUUAUUGUCAUUAAUGUUGUUAAACCAGGAACCGAACUUGCCAGUGAACACUGUACCUAUCCUUCCCAAGCAUUGCAGCAGCAAUCCACAGGUAAACAGCAUUUGCAGAAGCAGUACUGUCAUCUCAUCCUCCUCCUCCUGCUCACCCAUGUCCUCCAUAUUCUCCAUGUUGGAGGACUCUUCAGUGUUGUUCUUCAUUGUCAUGUAUUUCAUCCUCAUUCUCCAUUUUUCCCCCUCUGUCAACAGCGGUUUCCCACCUGUCAGCACCAAGCUGGGGGCAGGAACUCUAGGGUGUUGUGUGGUCUGGAGCUUGGUGUAGCUGUUUUUUCAAUACUUCACCCUGGUACCCCAUGGCAUUGGGGCUUUUGCACAUCCUUUCUUCCUUCAUCCUAAGUUUAGCAGCCACUGGUGCUCUGAUGUAAUCAAGCUUGCAAGCAAAAAAUGUUUUCCCUACACCUCUCCUGGUCAUGUAGGCUACUCAAAACUUUUGCCACUUUAGGGAAAACAGGCUGUGCUUCUGUAAUAAAAUUAUUUUGCACAAGGAGGCAGGUAGGUAUCAUUUUUUGCAAUGUUCCAGGCCAUUGAAUAGCAAUCCCAAAAUACAGUGGCCUUACUUACCUCAUCACCGGGACUUUUUUUGUUAUUAAACUGGGUGCUUCAUCACCUUUGGGUGUUUUGACACUUACAAGUAAUGACUUCACAAUCCUUGGAAUUUCCCCAAACCCUCAUGCAAGCACAGCCUGAGUAUAAAGGCACCCCCCCUCAAAAAAAAAUUGCCAGUCCCCUUUCACAAAUCACUUGUGCUGUUGAUCACAAACUGCUUUGCCAUGUCUCAGAAAGCCAAGGCUAACAGUAUGGAGCUUAUGGCCCAGGGAACUGAUACCUCCAACACCUGUGGAUCCAACUGGACCUGGGAAGAACUGGAGGACUUAACUGACAUUUUGUCAGAGCAAAAGAUCAUAGACAAGCUGUAAAGUAGGAGGAAUAAGUCUGUUUAUGUAGAUCACAAAAAGCAUGCAGGCAUGAGGGCACAAUCAUGACUGGAACCAGGUCUGGUACAAGGUCAAGUCCCUGAGAUCAGCAUUUUACAGAGCCAAAGAGAUGAGCUCUUGUUCUGGGGCACAACACACAAUUGGUCCCUUCUAUGAAAAGCUAUCCAUCAUUCUCUCCAAGGAUGCAGGUGAUAAUGCAGGUAUGGAAACUUUCAGCACGGGGGUUGGGCUGGUGGAGGGGGAGGUAGAGGAGGAGGAAGAGGAGGCAGCAGCAGCCCUUCCUGAGAGUGAAACCAUGAGCAGCAUUUAUUAUCUGUAUGGAGACUUCUCCCUGCUGUCUGAUGACCAUGAGUGGCAGGAUGAACCAUUUCAACAUACACAUAGUGCCACUUAGCCCUGCUCCACGGACUAACACAGAUAAUGAAGCAGAGGAGGUGGAGGGUUAAGAAGAAACCCAAGCAGAAAAUACAUCAUCUACUGUUACUGAGACCCAAGAACAUGCUCAACUUGGUAAGUCUCUUGUUACAUUCCUCUUGCCACUGCCAGGCAACUCCCGAGUUCGUGCUGGUUGGGUUUGGGGAGCCAGGGGGAAGGGGAGAAAUUCAUGUGUUGCUGUAGGUAGGUCACCAUGUGCUUUCUGUGGUGGUGCAUGCCAGGUUUGAUAGCUCAUAAUAUAACAGAUGCCAAACUAAUUAUUUGCUUUAAUCAUUUUUUUGCAGCUAGCAUGGGCAGUGUCAGCUGUGGACCUGUUUCCAAAGCUAGUACUUGGAUGUGGUUGUCAUGGAGGACCUAAACUACCCUGACAUCUGCUGGGAGGAGCAGUCAGCCAAAUCCAACCAUUCACAUUGGUUCUUAACCUGCACGUAGGACCUUCACUUAAUGCAGGAGGGUAGCAUCUCCUGUUGAUGUCACCUGGUCACAGCUGUAGAUGGGCAUGGCUGAUGAACUGCGUGGGCAUCUCUUCCCAGUGUGCUUCAUCGCUUGUCCGACAUCCUGCAGGCAUUACAGGGAGUUCCUCAACUCUGGCAAGAAUCCUGACUUGUGCAGAGCCCAGAGCAGGCUAUCGCAUCCCCAGGAUCAAGACAGUCUGGGACCAGAGGAACUAUGUGGGGUGGUGGCUGCUGCCUAGAGCUGAUGUGAAGUGAUCAUCCUCUCUGCUCUGUCCUAUUGCCUGCCUCUGCAAGUAUCCUUAAAUAAAGCUUG